UACGUAGGGGGCGAGCGUUGUCCGGAAUGACUGGGCGUAAAGGGCGCGUAGACGGCUGUCUAAGUCUGGAGUGAAAGUCCUGCUUUCAAGGUGGGAAUUGCUUUGGAGACUGGAUGGCUUGAGUGCGGAAGAGGUAAGUGGAAUUCCCAGUGUAGCGGUGAAAUGCGUAGAGAUUGGGAAGAACACCAGUGGCGAAGGCGACUUACUGGGCCGUAACUGACGUUGAUGCGCGAAAGCGUGGGGAGCGAACAGG
rnacentral:rRNA from 1 species